GUAGGUGAACCUGCGGAAGGAUCAUUAACACGUAUCCACGUUUUAACUAAAACUUAUCAACAUUUACAACGAACUGUGCUCCCUAUUGACCCAAUCUCUUAGCUGUUCGAUUCUGAUUAUAAUGGCUCUAUCCGUGUCUGUCAAAAGUAAUCGGUGUGAGAUGUCUGGUUGAACUAUCACUCCUCUGAGAGUGUGGCUAGGUAAACGGGACUCAAUAGGCUUACUAACUCUAACUGCCCGUGGCGCUCAG
rnacentral:misc_RNA from 1 species